rnacentral:rRNA from 1 species
UACGGAGGGUGCGAGCGUUGUCCGGAAUCACUGGGCGUAAAGGGCGCGUAGGUGGCGCGGCAAGUCAACGGUGAAAGCUCGACGCUCAACGUCGAGUUGGCCGUCGAUACUGCCGCGCUGGAGCACUGUAGAGGCUCAUGGAAUUCCGGGUGUAGCGGUGGAAUGCGUAGAGAUCCGGAAGAACACCGGUGGCGAAGGCGGUGAGCUGGGCAGUAGCUGACACUGAGGCGCGACAGCGUGGGGAGCAAACAGG